rnacentral:rRNA from 1 species
CCUACGGGAGGCAGCAGUAAGGAAUAUUGGUCAAUGGGCGGAAGCCUGAACCAGCCAUGCCGCGUGCAGGAAGACGGCCUACGGGUUGUAAACUGCUUUUGUACCGGAAUAUGUACGGUAAGAAUAAGGAUCGGCUAACUCCGUGCCAGCAGCCGCGGUAAUACGGAGGAUCCAAGCGUUAUCCGGAUUUAUUGGGUUUAAAGGGUGCGUAGGUGGCUUUUUAAGUCAGGGGUGAAAGACGGUAGCUUAACUAUCGCAGUGCCUUUGAUACUGAAGAGCUUGAAUACACUAGAGGUAGGCGGAAUGUGACAAGUAGCGGUGAAAUGCAUAGAUAUGUCACAGAACACCAAUUGCGAAGGCAGCUUACUAUGGUGUAUUGACACUGAGGCACGAAAGCGUGGGGAUCAAACAGGAUUAGAUACCCUUGUAGUC